CUGUGGCCAACCUCCCACCCUUGUCUCUAUACACCUGUUGCUUUGGCGGGCCCACCGGGGCCACCUGGUCGCCGGGGGACAUCUGUCCCCGGGCCCGCGCCCGCCGAAGCGCUCUGUGAACCCUGAUGAAGAUGGGCUGUCUGAGUACUAUGAAAAUUGUCAAAACUUUCAACAAUGGAUCUCUUGGUUCCGGCAUCGAUGAAGAACGCAGCGAAAUGCGAUAAGUAAUGUGAAUUGCAGAAUUCCGUGAAUCAUCGAAUCUUUGAACGCACAUUGCGCCCCCUGGCAUUCCGGGGGGCAUGCCUGUCCGAGCGUCAUUUCUGCCCUCAAGCACGGCUUGUGUGUUGGGUGCGGUCCCCCCGGGGACCUGCCCGAAAGGCAGCGGCGACGUCCGUCUGGUCCUCGAGCGUAUGGGGCUUUGUCACUCGCUCGGGAAGGACUGGCGGGGGUUGGUCACCACCAAAAUUUUACCACGGUUGACCUCGGAUCAGGUAGGAGUUACCCGCUGAACUUAAGCAUAUCAAUAAGGCGGAGGGAU
rnacentral:rRNA from 1 species